rnacentral:rRNA from 1 species
UACAGAGGGUGCAAGCGUUGUUCGGAAUUAUUGGGCGUAAAGCGCGUGUAGGCGGCUUGUCGCAAGUCGGGUGUGAAAGCCCUCAGCUCAACUGAGGAAGUGCGCCCGAAACUGCAGAGCUUGAGUGCCGGAGAGGGUGGCGGAAUUCCCCAAGUAGAGGUGAAAUUCGUAGAUAUGGGGAGGAACACCGGUGGCGAAGGCGGCCACCUGGACGGCAACUGACGCUGAGACGCGAAAGCGUGGGGAGCAAACAGG